rnacentral:lncRNA from 1 species
AUGCCUCGACGGACUCAUGAAGACACAGAACCCCUGCUUUCGUCCACUCCUAUCGAUGAAGACGAUGACCAGGUAUCCAGCAGAAAGAAACUUUCAUAUGAGGAGGCAUUAAGAAAGCAGAUGCAGUGGUCAGCGAUCCUCAUGUUUCUGUCUGUCUGCAGGGUUUGGGCUCUUCCACUCUUCCUCUUCCUUGGGAUGAUGGUGGGCGGUUAUUUUUGGGGGUAUCUGGCUGAUCGCAGAGGAAGGCGGAGUGUUCUGGUCGUCUCACUGGCAGUGAAUGGCACAUUUGGGGCGGAGGCCAGUUUGGCUUAG